rnacentral:rRNA from 1 species
UACGUAGGGGGCAAGCGUUGUCCGGAUUUAUUGGGCGUAAAGAGCGUGUAGGCGGUUAGGUAGGUCCGUUGUGAAAACUCGAGACUCAACCUCGAGACGCCGAUGGAAACCAUCUGACUAGAGUCCGGAAGAGGAGAGUGGAAUUCCUGGUGUAGCGGUGAAAUGCGCAGAUAUCAGGAAGAACACCCGUGGCUAAGGCGGCUCUCUAGUACGUGACUGACGCUGAGACGCGAAAGCGUGGGGAGCGAACAGG